GGAUAGUCGGUAGGUAGCUCAUUUCGUUGAGGGCUACAGUUGGACUUGCAUCCUCAAAAACUGUAGGUUUACCACUUUUGAUACUUUUGGUCGUUCGUGGGCCCGCGUGUCACUGUAAAUUAAAUCUUAUGCUUUGGUUAUCUGUAUUACAGUAUGUAUGAAUUUAUUUAGCUUUUACGCUAUAAAAAUUAUUUACUGG
rnacentral:lncRNA from 1 species